GUUUUUUCUGCUCCCUUUUACAAUUAAUAUCAUACAAAAACUGAAAAAUCAAUAAUAAAAAAAAAAGCACUACAAAACAAAACCUUUUAUUUUCUGUAAUAAAUUCAUAGUAUGUGUGGUGUUUCUACGUAAGUGAAGCACACAGGGACAAUGAAAAAGAGAGUUUUCCUUUUAAAAGCUUCAUUUUUUUUUGGGUAUUUGUUUUUCUUAAUUUUCUAGGUGGGCUAUGGACUUGCUGGUAGACCCAGCUUUAUUGACCUCUAAAACCUGAAUGAUUUGCUCCUGUUUUCUUAAUAUAAACACAUUCAUAGAACCAUUCUUUUUUAGCUGUUUCAAUGUCUCUCUUGUUUCUGUAAAAUCCAGUGUUAGAUAGGAUGCUACUAGUGCACAGAGAGUCAACCAAGAGAAGCUGAAGGCGUUCCUAAAUUUGGGUCUCCUGCAUUUCUUUUUCCUACUUUAGAGAGAGAGAGAGAGAGA
rnacentral:misc_RNA from 1 species